ensembl:lncRNA
CUCAGGAGUACAGUACAACAUCAACCUUCCUCCUCUCUCCAGUUACACAUCAACCUUCCUCCUCUCCUCCAGUACAACCAUCAAUCUUCCACUCUCCUCCAGGACAAACAUCAACCUUCCACCUUUCCUCCAGGACAACAUCAACCUUCCACCUCUCUCCAGGAGUACAGGACAACAUCAACCUUCCUCCUCUCCUCCAUGACAACAUCCACUUCCACCUCUCCUCCAGGACAACAUCAACCUUCCACCUCUCCCCCAAGACAACAUCAAGCUUCCACUCUCCCCCAGGACACAUCAACCUUCCACCUCUCCCCCAGAGUACAGUAAACAUCAACCUUCCUCCUCUCCUCAGUACAACAUUAACCUUCCACCUGUCCUCCAGGACAACAUCAACCUUCCACCUCUCCUCCAGGAGUACAGUACAACAUCAACCUUCCACCUCUCCCACGGAGGCAGUACAAACAUCAACCUUCCACUCUCCUUCAGGAGUACAGUACAACAUCAACCUUCCUCCUCUCCUCAGUACAACAUCAACCUUCCACCUCUCCUCCAGGACAACCUCAACCUUCCACAUCUCCUCCAGGACACAUCAACCUUCCACUCCUCCAGGACAACAUCAACCUUCCACCUCUCUCCAGGACAACAUCAACCUUCCUCCUCUCCUCAGGACUAUUACAACAUCAACCCUCCUCUCCUCCAGUACACCAUCAACUUCUUCCUUUCCUCCAGGACAACAUCAACCUUCCUCCUCUCCUCCAGGACAACAUCAACCUUCCACCUCUCCUCCAGGAGUACAGUACAACAUCAACCUUCCUCCCUCCUCCCAGACCAACAACCUCCUCCUCUCCUCCAGUACACAAAUUCAACCCUUCCACCUCUCCUUCAGGGAGUACAGUACAACACUCAACUCUCCUCCCUCUCCAGUACAACAUCAACCUUCCACCUCUCCUCCAGGAAACAUCAAACCUUCCACUUUCCUCCAGGACAACAUCAACCUUCCACCACUCCUCCAGGAGUACAGUACUACAUCAACCUCCACCUCUCCUCCAGGAGAAACAUCAACUUCCACUCUCCUUCAGGGUACGUACCAACACAACCUUCCACCCUCCCCAGGACAACAUCAACAUUCCACCUCUCCCCCAGGAGUACAGUACAACAUCAAAUUUCCACCUCUCCUUCAGGAGUACAGUACAACAUCAACCUUCCUCCUCUCCUCCAGUACAACAUCAACCUUCCACCUGUCCUCCAGGACACAUCACCCUCCACCUCUCCUCCAGGAGUACAGUACAACAUAACCUUCCACCUCUCCCACCGGAGGACAGUACAACAUCAACCUUCCACCUCUCCUUCAGGAGUACAGUACAACAUCAACCUUCCUCCUCUCCUCCAGGACAACAUCAACCUUCCCCUUUCCUCCAGGACACAUCAACCUUCCACUCUCCUCCAGGAGUACAGUACUACAUCACCUUCCACCUCUCCUCCAGGACAACAUCAACCUUCCACCUCUCCUUCAGGAGUACAGAACAACAUCAACCUUCCACCUCUCCUCCAGGACAACAUCAACCUUCCACUCUCCCCAGGACAACAUCAACCUUCCAGCUCUCCUCCAGGAGUACAGUACAACAUCAACCAUCCUCCUCUCCUCCAGCACAACAUCCGUUAUGCUAUACCUCUCUGCUAGUCUGCUGGUCUAACUCAUAAACUAAUUGUGGUAUCAAUUAACAGAGACCGACUGGAUCGCAGAGAAGCA